CAACCUACUGUAUAUAAGAAAUGCAAAUGGACCACAGCUACAUGCAGUGAUAGGCCAUUAUGACAGUGACAAAAAUGGAAGCUAUGAAUUGACUCAACAAUAGAAACAUCUACUCACCCUGGCUGAUCGGACUACAACUGCUGCUGGGUGCUAGGCCUGUCAACACCAGAGACCAACACUGAGUCCUUGAUAUGGCAAAAUUUCCAGGGGUGACCAGCCAGUGACCUGGUGGUGUGACCAUCUGAGUGUAUUACACCUUGUGUGUGUACCUGUUCAAGCCAUAAGAAGGAUUCGGUGAACCUGAAACAUCUCCUUUUGGCAUGUACAGCUGUGUCGGUGUAGUGCAGGGUUGCGUGUGCGCUGAUGCCUUCUCUUUGUCUCAGUAUCUCUCCUGUCACUCGGCCGCAAGUCAGCGCUCCACUCAGCUCUCAUCCUUAACAUCCCCACCAAGUGCCCUUGAGCGGUCUCUUCAGCUUUAAUCAUCACUUUUAGGACUUCAGCCACCAACGCCAACAAAGAGCCUGGAUGUGGAGGCUUCAUGACUUUUAGGAGCAGUAAAGAACAUGGCCUUUCAUCAUUUUAGGGAGGACCUGGCCCGGUAAAACAGAUUUGGAACUUUACCUGCCACCAUGUGAAGAGCAAAGGAAGACACCCAACCACAGUAACUCAGGACACCGUAAUCUAAGCGUCUCCAUGGAAUCAUUGAGCCACAUAGAAUUCUUCCUGUUUAUAGAUGCUUCCAUGCUGAAGAACCCCAGGACAGACCCCACAGGCAGACUUUCUGGGAAGAUUGAGUGUACUCAG